UGUAAGCGUAUACCAAAGUUGUUGCAGUUAAAACGCUCGUAGUCGGAAUUUGGCAGUUCCGGAUGUGUGCACGUCGUGUGCGCACUUCGCGGGGAUUGCUUUUGUGGUCUUGCGUAGGAUGAGGCACUUUUAUUAGUGAACGUCCUCACGCAACCACUUUUUACUGAGAGAAAAUCAGAGUGCUCAAAGCAGGCAUUUGCCGUGAAUGUAUUAGCAUGGAAUAAUAGAAUAGGACUUGGUUCUAUUUUGUUGGUUUGUUGGGACUGAGUAAUGAUUAAGAGGGACAGUUGGGGGCAUUUGUAUUUCGGUGCUAGAGGUGAAAUUCUUAGAUUACCGAAAGACAAACUGCUGCGAAAGCGUCUGCCAAGGAUGUUUUCAUUGA
rnacentral:rRNA from 1 species